CUUAAGUUGUUUAGUAAAGAGUAUAUAUAUACAUACAUGUUAAUUAGUUAAUUAUUUUCCUUUUUUGGUUUGUCCAUUUUAAAGUUUGUUUUUUGCUUUAUUUUUGUGGAUAUUAUAUAAUGGUUAUUUUUUCGUUGGGAUAGGUGGGAUAAGAAUGAUGAUGUUUUUGUGUAUUU